AAAGAACCUGAACCGCUAGGGGGGAAGCGAUUUGCGCUGAUAUGUGAGAAAAGUGUCGAUCAGUGGGUGAUUCCGCGUAAUCUGCACUUCUCUCUGCCAUCGUGGGCUUGUGGUUAGCGGAUGUUGCGCUUCUGCAGGCCGAGGGAUCCCUUUUAUAGGUGACGACGAUGGAUCUUUUGGCGCGAAUCGACCCGUCUUGAAACACGGACCAAGGAGUCUAGCGUACCUGCAAGUCAAAGGGUGUAAAAACCUGAGGGCGCAGUGAAAGCGAAUCUAUUUAAAAUGGUGCAAUUUGAGGCGGCAUACGAUCGUUGAUUGUAAGUCCGACCUAGAGCAGAUAUGCUAGGACCCGAAAGAUGGUGAACUAUGCUUGAGUAGGGCGAAGCCAGAGGAAACUCUGGUGGAGGCUCGUAGCGGUGCUGACGUGCAAAUCGCUCGUCAAACUUGAGUAUAGGGGCGAAAGACUAAUCGAACCAUCUAGUAGCUGGUUUCCUCCGAAGUUUCUCUCAGGAUAGCAGGCCCAAAUAUUAUGAUUGUUGUGUGUGGUAAAGCGAAUGAUUAGCAUACUCGGGGUCGUUUAGACUCUGGAUGAUUCUCAAACUUUAAAUGCGCACGGAUGUUGCCGCUUGGGUGGGCGGCAUCUCUAAAAACUUGGGCUUUGUGGGCCACUUUUGGUAAGCA
rnacentral:rRNA from 1 species